AUUUAAUUCCCGGCAUUUACCGAAAACCCCGGGAAUAGCUAAUAAUGCACAUACGGCAGUCGGACAAAAGAAACGGCGAAGGUAGCUACUUAACCCUUAAACAUGAAACGACAUAGUUUUGUGUUGCCCAAAGUUUCCCUCACCCGGAAUUCCCCAAUCCCACACAAUAACCCUAGUUCCCUCCUAUCUCUCUACUCAGACGCCGUUCUCUACCUCAAACGCCUUUCUCCCUCUCUCUGCUGGACGUGCGCCUCUCUCUCUCUCUCUCUGCGGGCGUCGGCGUUGGAGGUGCCGGCGUCGGAGUCACUCAUCGGCAACAAAAAGCUCACAAUAAGCCGUUCAAGGAGAAUUUUCCUGACAACAAAUCACUCUUAGUUAUGAGGUAUACGAGAACUUUUGAUCUAACCUUCAAUUUAUGAGCUUUGUUCGAUUAUUUUACUGUUCUCAUUGUUUUUCUCAUAUUCUGUUUGGUUGCUGAGAAAAUGGAGGGGGAAAAUGAAACAAAAUAAAGGAUCUACUUCGAUCAUGCCUUAGACUCUGUCGUUUUGCUAGGGUCUAUAUGAAUUAUGAUUUGAGUUCAGUAGAUAGAGAUACAACAUCAUAUAUGGUAGAAAUCAGAACUAUUUUGCACUCUUCCUGCUCCAAAAUCUGUUGCCGCCAUAGCUCUGGUACACAGUCUGUGUGUGUGUGUGUGUGUAUUCGAGAGGUUGAUCUUUGUAAAAAAGAACCCUAGAAUUUUCUUGGUCUUCAACCAAUUAUUUUGGGGGUUUUCGUUGAUACUUGAUAUAAUGAAUUUAAAUGCCCUAAUUGCAUUUAGAAUGAUUAAAAAUGUCUUGUUCUUGUUCUUCGUAUUUUUUGCCCUAAUUUUGUUAUUUUUUAAUUAAAAAGAAAUGAGCUCCAUUUUUAAGUUGAAACUUCAAUCAAAGUUCAUGUCUAAUGUGGUAUUGCAUGCAUUUGCUUUGUUUGUUUUCUUCAGAGUCGUGUUAAUGGAAACUAAGAUGGAUAAGAGUUGGAUAAAUUUGCCUAGGUUCAAUCUAAGAUACCUACAAUGGGUCAUAAAUUUUAUGGAAUUUGCAUGUAAGAACAUUCUUGAUGGGCAAACAGAAAUUGCUUGUCCUUGUAAGAAAUGCCAUAAUGUGGCUAGAGUGAAGAUGGAUUUAGUAAAGGAACAUCUCAUCUAAAUAUUGUAUGGAUUUAGAUGGUUUCUUGGUCAUUCUUUAUGAAAAGGCCAAAAUUCUUUGAAAUUGGAAUAUCAUGAGAGAGCCAAGCAAUGGAAAUGGUUCGCUAUCAAUCAAUAUGAGUGAGACAAAUUACCCCUUUUACCCAAAAAGGAAUGAGAGGGACUUUCGAGGAGAAUGACAAUUUCCUCUAUUAAUCGCCAAUGGGAGCUUUUCCAUUAGCAUGCAUAUCACCAUUAGAGGGUACUGGUGUAAUGCUUGUUUGUGCUAGUGGAAACAUGAAAGCAACCAUUACGGUGAGUGAUUUUGUUUUGGUCUUAAGUUUAAAUUUGCUAUCGUCUUUGACUUUUCCGUAUGAAUUCAUUACUGUCUUUGUUUUGCAACUUGAUUUCUCUUAGUUUAUCGUAACAAAAUCCUCAUAGAGUUGGUGUAAAGAGUAAAUAUUGAUUUAGUUUUGGUAUCCCUGAACAGUCGAUCGAAGGGUUAGUGAAAGAGUGGCCUCAUCAUUACCCUAUAUCCACAAUCAAAGGGUUGGAUGUAAAAAAGCAUCAAUUGUUAAUGGGGCUCUUCUGAAAAACCGUUGGGGUACAAAAGAUGUAAUACUUGACCAUGUUCGCGGUUGAUCAGUACUAAGGGUGGAGUCCAAUGCACAGUGAUAUGCCUUGCCCAAGAAACAAAUGUCUUCCACUCCCUGCAUAUUUAGGUACUUUUUGGGUCGGUUUUACGAAUACAAAGCACUUUUGAUAUGAAAAAGAAAUCCAGACUAUCACGUGCUUAUUUGAUAUGGUCGCCUAAAAAUCAUGAAAGGCAGUAAGCAGAUAGUUGCUUUUUCUGUUAGGUAUAUCUAUUGCUUGAAUUUCUGUUUAAAUAUCAAUUCAAAAUAAUUCCAUCUAUUGCUUGUGGCAUUUUUGUUUUAUGUCGAUAGUCUGUUCUUUUCCAUUCGUGGUUUUAUUAAGAUAAAUUAUACACGUGGAUGGAAGCAAAGGAUGAUUUUUAUAACAUCUGUAUUUGGCGUGUUUUGGAUGGAUUUUAUUAUGCAAUAUGCUUUAGAGUAAUUAUAAUGUGCAAGAGUCUUCUAUUUUGUCGGGCCUUUUUGGCAACCAUUGUGGUGUAAACUUUGGUAAAAGCAUGUCACAUGAAUUACAGAAUUAGAGGUGAGAGACGAUUGUCCUUAUAAAGUGUCACUCUAUUAGUCAAUUGUUUUCUAUAUCGAUUUCUCUCCAUUGCAACAAAAUAUGGUUACCAGUUUAAUGUUUUAGAUUUUAGACUGAUGGAGAACAUACAUGAUGCAAUGUACUUGAGUUCCAUUUCAUUGGAAAAUUGCAAGUGUGGAACUGCAGGGGGUUUGGUGAACUUCUUGGGUACAAUGGAAUCAAGGUAGAUUAUAGGUGAAUGUUCUGGUGUAUCCAUUUGUAUGGUACUGAGAAAUGAGCAGCUAAUUUUCCAUAAAUGUAAUUUAAUUUCCUUUCAGGUCAAUUAUAAAAUUGUAAGCACUUCUGCCUA